CGCCUUCAUGAAGCCGGAAUUGCUAGUAAUGGCAGGUCAGCAUACUGCCGUGAAUACGUUCCCGGGCCUUGUACACACCGCCCGUCACACCAUGAGAGUUGGGAAUACCCGAAGCCUGUGAGCUAACUAUAUGAGGCAGCAGUCGAAGGUAGAAUCAAUGAUUGGGGUGAAGUCGUAACAAGGUAGC
rnacentral:rRNA from 1 species